rnacentral:misc_RNA from 1 species
AAGUCGUAACAAGGUAACCGUAGGUGAACCUGCGGUUGGAUCAUUAAAAAAAUCAAAAGCCUGUCAUCGAGUACCGCUUUGUCAAGCGCAAAGCUGGGGAAAAAUGAAUGUUGGCACCACAUCUUGUGAACCGUAUUUGUCUUUGGUGGUUGGGCGGUUGCUUGUUUCAAGCUUCCGUCUGUCAGCUUGUGUUUUACAAUGCAAGCCGUGGACAAGCCACCGUCUGUUUGUUCAAACCUAAUUGUCUUCUUUUUUUUUGUCUAACAUUCUUUUGUAUAAAUAUACAAACAACUUUUGGCAACGGAUCUCUUGGUUCUC